rnacentral:rRNA from 1 species
CAGUCGCCACGGGAACACGGAGGGGGCUAGCGUUGUUCGGAAUUACUGGGCGUAAAGCGCACGUAGGCGGCUUGGUAAGUUAGAGGUGAAAGCCUGGAGCUCAACUCCAGAAUUGCCUUUAAGACUGCCGAGCUAGCAGGUGAGAGAGGUAAGUGGAAUUCCGAGUGUAGAGGUGAAAUUCGUAGAUAUUCGGAAGAACACCAGUGGCGAAGGCGGCUUACUGGCUCAUACUGGACGCUGAGGUGCGAAAGCGUGGGGAGCAAACAGGAUUAGAUACCCCGGUAGUCCCUGUCUCUUAUAA